GAUGAACGCUAGCGACAGGCUUAACACAUGCAAGUCGAGGGGCAGCAUGAGGUAGCAAUACCUUGAUGGCGACCGGCGCACGGGUGAGUAACGCGUAUGCAACCUGCCUGAUACCGGGGUAUAGCCCAUGGAAACGUGGAUUAACACCCCAUAGUACUUUUAUCCUGCCUGGGAUGGGAGUUAAAUGUUCAAGGUAUCGGAUGGGCAUGCGUCCUAUUAGUUAGUUGGCGGGGUAACAGCCCACCAAGACGAUGAUAGGUAGGGGUUCUGAGAGGAAGGUCCCCCACAUUGGAACUGAGACACGGUCCAAACUCCUACGGGAGGCAGCAGUGAGGAAUAUUGGUCAAUGGACGAGAGUCUGAACCAGCCAAGUCGCGUGAGGGAAGACUGCCCUAUGGGUUGUAAACCUCUUUUAUAAGGGAAGAAUAAGUUCUACGUGUAGAAUGAUGCCUGUACCUUAUGAAUAAGCAUCGGCUAACUCCGUGCCAGCAGCCGCGGUAAUACGGAGGAUGCGAGCGUUAUCCGGAUUUAUUGGGUUUAAAGGGUGCGUAGGCGGUUUAUUAAGUUAGUGGUUAAAUAUUUGAGCUAAACUCAAUUGUGCCAUUAAUACUGGUAAACUGGAGUACAGACGAGGUAGGCGGAAUAAGUUAAGUAGCGGUGAAAUGCAUAGAUAUAACUUAGAACUCCGAUAGCGAAGGCAGCUUACCAGACUGUAACUGACGCUGAUGCACGAGAGCGUGGGUAGCGAACAGGAUUAGAUACCCUGGUAGUCCACGCCGUAAACGAUGCUCACUGGUUCUGUGCGAUAUAUUGUACGGGAUUAAGCGAAAGUAUUAAGUGAGCCACCUGGGGAGUACGUCGGCAACGAUGAAACUCAAAGGAAUUGACGGGGGCCCGCACAAGCGGAGGAACAUGUGGUUUAAUUCGAUGAUACGCGAGGAACCUUACCUGGGUUUAAAUGGGAAAUGCCGUAUUUGGAAACAGAUAUUCUCUUCGGAGCGUUUUUCAAGGUGCUGCAUGGUUGUCGUCAGCUCGUGCCGUGAGGUGUCGGGUUAAGUCCCAUAACGAGCGCAACCCUUACCGUUAGUUGCUAGCAUGUAAUGAUGAGCACUCUAACGGGACUGCCACCGUAAGGUGAGAGGAAGGCGGGGAUGACGUCAAAUUCAGCACGGCCCUUACACCCAGGGCUACACACGUGUUACAAUGGCCGGUACAGAGGGCCGCUACCAGGUGACUGGAUGCCAAUCUCAAAAGCCGGUCGUAGUUCGGAUUGGAGUCUGUAACCCGACUCCAUGAAGUUGGAUUCGCUAGUAAUCGCGCAUCAGCCAUGGCGCGGUAAUACGUUCCCGGGCCU
rnacentral:rRNA from 1 species